GCCAGCAGGCAUAUCACCCUGCAACUCACAACUGGCAACCCACUGAAGCUAAGCAGGUGUGAGCCUGGUCAGUACCUGGAUGGGAGACCUCCUGGGAAAAACUAAGGUUGCUGCUGGAA
ensembl:rRNA 5S_rRNA 5S ribosomal RNA